rnacentral:sRNA from 1 species
GUUGUGUCUGGGAUUCAGGAGAGAAGAUGACUGAGGAGGAGGUGGAGACUGUUCUGGCAGGACAUGAGGACAGCAACGGCUGCAUCAACUACGAGGCCUUCUUGAAACACAUCCUAAGCGUCUGAGUGCUGCAGUGUGACUUCACCGAAGACCAGACCGCAGAGUUCAAGGAGGCCUUCCAGCUGUUUGACCGAACAGGUGAUGGCAAGAUCCUGUACAGCCA